rnacentral:rRNA from 1 species
CCUACGGGUGGCUGCAGUGGGGAAUAUUGCGCAAUGGGCGCAAGCCUGACCCAGCAACGCCGCGUGAAGGAAGAAGGCUUUCGGGAUGUAAACUUCUUUUAUCAGGGACGAAACAGAUGACGGUUCCUUAUGAAUAAGCCACUGCUAACUACGUGCCAGCAGCCGCGGUAAUACGUAGGUGGCAAGCAUUAUCCGGAUUUACUGGUUGUAAAGGGGGUGUAGGCGGGAGUGCAAGUCAGAUGUGAAAACUGUGGGCUCAACCCAUAGCCUGCAUUUGAAACUGUACUGCUUGAGUGCUGGAGAGGCAAUCGGAAUUCCGUGUGUAGCGGUGAAAUGCGUAGAUAUAAGGAGGAACACCAGUGGCGAAGGCGGAUUGCUGGACAGUAACUGACGCUGAGGCGCGAAAGCGUGGGGAGCAAACAGGAUUAGAUACCCCAGUAGUC